GAUGAACGCUGGCGGCGUGCCUAAUACAUGCAAGUCGAGCGAACAGACGAGGAGCUUGCUCCUCUGACGUUAGCGGCGGACGGGUGAGUAACACGUGGAUAACCUACCUAUAAGACUGGGAUAACUUCGGGAAACCGGAGCUAAUACCGGAUAAUAUAUUGAACCGCAUGUUCAAUAGUGAAAGACGGUUUUGCUGUCACUUAUAGAUGGAUCCGCGCCGCAUUAGCUAGUUGGUAAGGUAACGGCUUACCAAGGCAACGAUGCGUAGCCGACCUGAGAGGGUGAUCGGCCACACUGGAACUGAGACACGGUCCAGACUCCUACGGGAGGCAGCAGUAGGGAAUCUUCCGCAAUGGGCGAAAGCCUGACGGAGCGACGCCGCGUGAGUGAUGAAGGUCUUCGGAUCGUAAAACUCUGUUAUUAGGGAAGAACAAAUGUGUAAGUAACUAUGCACGUCUUGACGGUACCUAAUCAGAAAGCCACGGCUAACUACGUGCCAGCCGCCGCGGUAA
rnacentral:rRNA from 1 species